rnacentral:rRNA from 1 species
GACGAACGCUGGCGGCGUGCUUAACACAUGCAAGUCGAACGGAAAGGCCCUGCUUUUGUGGGGUGCUCGAGUGGCGAACGGGUGAGUAACACGUGAGUAACCUGCCCUUGACUUUGGGAUAACUUCAGGAAACUGGGGCUAAUACCGGAUAGGAGCUCCUGCUGCAUGGUGGGGGUUGGAAAGUUUCGGCGGUUGGGGAUGGACUCGCGGCUUAUCAGCUUGUUGGUGGGGUAGUGGCUUACCAAGGCUUUGACGGGUAGCCGGCCUGAGAGGGUGACCGGCCACAUUGGGACUGAGAUACGGCCCAGACUCCUACGGGAGGCAGCAGUGGGGAAUACUGCACAAUGGGCGGAAGCCUGAUGCAGCAACGCCGCGUGCGGGAUGACGGCCUUCGGGUUGUAAACCGCUUUCGCCUGUGACGAAGCGUGAGUGACGGUAAUGGGUAAAGAAGCACCGGCUAACUACGUGCCAGCAGCCGCGGUGAUACGUAGGGUGCGAGCGUUGUCCGGAUUUAUUGGGCGUAAAGGGCUCGUAGGUGGUUGAUCGCGUCGGAAGUGUAAUCUUGGGGCUUAACCCUGAGCGUGCUUUCGAUACGGGUUGACUUGAGGAAGGUAGGGGAGAAUGGAAUUCCUGGUGGAGCGGUGGAAUGCGCAGAUAUCAGGAGGAACACCAGUGGCGAAGGCGGUUCUCUGGGCCUUUCCUGACGCUGAGGGGCGAAAGCGUGGGGAGCGAACAGGCUUAGAUACCCUGGUAGUCCACGCUGUAAACGGUGGGUACUAGGUGUGGGGUCCAUUCCACGGGUUCCGUGCCGUAGCUAACGCUUUAAGUACCCCGCCUGGGGAGUACGGCCGCAAGGCUAAAACUCAAAGGAAUUGACGGGGCCCCGCACAAGCGGCGGAGCAUGCGGAUUAAUUCGAUGCAACGCGUAGAACCUUACCUGGGUUUGACAUGGAUCGGGAGUGCUCAGAGAUGGGUGUGCCUCUUUUGGGGUCGGUUCACAGGUGGUGCAUGGCUGUCGUCAGCUCGUGUCGUGAGAUGUUGGGUUAAGUCCCGCAACGAGCGCAACCCUUGUUCACUGUUGCCAGCACGUUAUGGUGGGGACUCAGUGGAGACCGCCGGGGUCAACUCGGAGGAAGGUGGGGAUGACGUCAAGUCAUCAUGCCCCUUAUGUCCGGGGCUUCACGCAUGCUACAAUGGCUGGUACAGAGAGUGGCGAGCCUGUGAGGGUGAGCGAAUCUCGGAAAGCCGGUCUCAGUUCGGAUUGGGGUCUGCAACUCGACCUCAUGAAGUCGGAGUCGCUAGUAAUCGCAGAUCAGCAACGCUGCGGUGAAUACGUUCCCGGGGCU